rnacentral:tRNA from 1 species
AAGGGGUGAUAACACGUCGAAUUGCAAAGUCGAAGGAGCACAUAAUAGGUGCCUGGGCU